GACGAACGCUGGCGGCGUGCCUAAUACAUGCAAGUCGAGCGGACAAUUGAGAGCUUGCUCUCAAUUGUUAGCGGCGGACGGGUGAGUAACACGUGGGCAACCUGCCCUGUAGACUGGGAUAACUUCGGGAAACCGAAGCUAAUACCGGAUAAUCUUUAGCGUCACAUGGCGCAAAAGUAAAAGUUGGGUUUACCUAACACUACAGGAUGGGCCCGCGGCGCAUUAGCUAGUUGGUAAGGUAAUGGCUUACCAAGGCGACGAUGCGUAGCCGACCUGAGAGGGUGAUCGGCCACACUGGGACUGAGACACGGCCCAGACUCCUACGGGAGGCAGCAGUAGGGAAUCUUCCGCAAUGGACGAAAGUCUGACGGAGCAACGCCGCGUGAACGAUGAAGGCCUUCGGGUCGUAAAGUUCUGUUGUUAGGGAAAGAAACAAAGUACC
rnacentral:rRNA from 1 species